CUCGAUCUGAAUAAUUCUUGAUAUCAUGCUCACCCUCAUCCAAUAAUUGCUUAGUAUCGUUGUAUUGUUUACAAAUUAAAAUAUUAAAUUGAUUUCAUAAACUUCAAGAAUUCCUUGGGAAUUCUUAAGGAAUUCCUUUAAAAUUCCGUGAUAAUACAUGUGAUUGUCUAUAGUAAGGAAAUGUUAAAGGAAUUUCAGAGGAAAUUUUAGAAUUUAGAUAGUUGCAAUCAUGGGUGAGCACAUAUUUUGUGAAACUGUUUCAAAAUAAAAUUGCAUUUUAAUUAAUAAAGAAAUGCAAGAAUGUGAAAGGAACCAAAUUAUAUACAGUGAAACUUUAAAGUGGGAAAGAGAUAGGGUGGUGAAAUACGGUUAGUGUUCUAAAAUACUGAAAUAUAUGCUGUACAGGUUUUAUAUCAGUGCAUGGUUAAUAUAUGUAUAUGGGACUAGCAUUGCACUAUCUCGUGAAAAGGGAAUAUAGCGUUGAAUAGAAACUAUAAAAACCCAUUCAUAUUUCAGGCUUAAAAUUUAGACAAAUUUUAAGCCUUCAGAUAACUAUAUAAUUCUUUAUAUAGUACCUUGCUAUUGUAAGGGUAACCCAUAAUAAGGCAUGACUGUUAGUGUGCUUUAAUUACUCCACAAGAAAUAAGGGGCAAGGGAUAUUGGUAAACAAGUAUUACCAAUCAAUCCUAUUCCCUUUUAAUUAUAAUGGCCACUGUGGUCAAAGCACCGUAUAAUAAGCAAUUAUUGGAUGAGGGUGAGCAUGAUAUCAAGAAUUAUUCAGAUCGAGGUCAAUGUUAUCUGCCGAAGCGAAGCUGAGGCGGAUAACAUAGACCGAGGUCUGAAUAAUUCUUGAUAUCAUGCGAAAG